ensembl:snoRNA LOC120097620 small nucleolar RNA SNORA17
CCUACCCCUUGAGGUGUUGCCUGUGUGGAUGCUAUGUCACACGUGCAUCAUUAAGUGGCAGAGAGGAGAGGGGCUGUGUCUACAGGGUUACCUGCUUGGAUUCCUGAUUUUGAGGACUUUCAGC